GCCGAAUCUGUGCUUUUGAAGUGCACAUCUUUCGAAGGAAAGAAAAGUGUUGCAGAGAUCAGAACAGGUGAGGACACAGAAAGCACCGAAGAGGAAAUCCUUCUUCUGAGAGACGCCAGGACUGCAGCUGACUGGUGUAGCAGGAGAAACUGGGAUGGAAAAAUACAAUUUCCCAUUGUCCUUUCAAGA